UAAUUGAAUGCCUAAAAGAAUGGAAUUACAGGGAAAAGUUUUUUUAAAUUUAAUAAUUGAAGUUAUUUUAAUUUGUGAAGAAACAAUUAUAUAAAUUAAAGACAAGAAGACCCUAAGAAUUUAAGAAUUUUUAUUUAUAUAUAUGCACAUAAUAUAUUAAUAAAAAUUCUUAGUUGGGGCAACUAAAAAAUAUAUUAAACUUUUUUUUUAAAAAAAAAAUGAUCCAUUAUUAAUGAUAAUAUGAAAAAAUACUCUAGGGAUAACAGCGUAAUAAUUUUUGAUAGAUCUUAUAGACAAAAUAGUUUGCGACCUCGAUGUUGGAUUAGGAUACUUUUUUAAUGAAGAUGUUAAAAAAAGAAGUUUGCUCAACUUUUAAAUUCCUACA
rnacentral:rRNA from 1 species